CAUUUCACAGAUCAUGAUGCUGUGCUCCCAUUUAUGCAUUUAGAUGCAUUAAUGCAUAGAGCCAUAUAUACAUUCAUUCCUCAUAACACAUAAUACUAAGAAAGUGCUUUAGAGUGCUUAUGCCAUUUAUUAGAGGAAGGAGCUCAGUCUUUUAAUCCUUCUCUUGUUAUAUUCAUUACUUCUUGACACAUUUCCGGUUUUCCUCGUGCCCUCUUGUGGUUCUGGACCUACUAUUGUAUUAUUAGAUAAUUAUGACUCCUGGAUAUCCCUCUUUCUCCUCCUCCUUCAUAUCUAUUGAAUUCUUGUCUAUUUCAUAGGUACAGUCUCUCCCUUCCGCCUAUGAAGCAUUCUAAAGUGUUUUUUAAUUAAAGUACAAGUCAUUAAACUCAUUGGAUUGCUGGAAAAGAGAGUGGUCCCCUGAGACUGGUGUAUAUCUGGUUCUUCACUUUGGAUCAUCUGUCAACCAUGCAUUGCUGUUGUACUCAGGCAAUGUUCAGGAAAUAUUUGUGGUCCUCAAGGUUAUUGUUCAUUGUUCUGAUGUGGUCCUGUGAGAACCUACCUCAGCCCCUGACACUUGGUCACUUAGACAAAUUCAAACUACUUUCAAGACAGGAUCUAAAACAUCGACCUCAAAUCCUACAGAAAAUUCC
rnacentral:lncRNA from 1 species